AUUGAACGCUGGCGGCGUGCCUAACACAUGCAAGUCGAGCGGUAACAGGUGUAGCAAUACAUGCUGACGAGCGGCGAACGGGUGAGUAAUGCUUCGGGAAUCUACCUUAGUGGGUGGGGAAUAACCUAGCCGAAAGGUUAGCUAAUACCGCAUACGUCCUACGGGAGAAAGACAGGGGAUCGUAAGACCUUGCGCCAAAGAUGAGCCGAAGUCGGAUUAGCUAGUUGGUAGGGAACGGCCUACCAAGGCGACGAUCCGUAGCUGGUCUGAGAGGACGACCAGCCACACUGGGACUGAGACACGGCCCAGACUCCUACGGGAGGCAGCAGUGGGAAUAUUGGACAAUGGGGGAACCCUGAUCCAGCGACGCCGCGUGUGUGAAGAAGGCCUGGCGGG
rnacentral:rRNA from 1 species